UACGUAGGGUGCAAGCGUUAAUCGGAAUUACUGGGCGUAAAGCGUGCGCAGGCGGUUUGGAAAGACAGAUGUGAAAUCCCAGAGCUUAACUUUGGAACUGCAUUUUUAACUGUCAAGCUAGAGUAUGUCAGAGGGGGGUAGAAUUCCACGUGUAGCAGUGAAAUGCGUAGAGAUGUGGAGGAAUACCGAUGGCGAAGGCAGCCCCCUGGGAUAAUACUGACGCUCAUGCACGAAAGCGUGGGGAGCAAACAGG
rnacentral:rRNA from 1 species